rnacentral:rRNA from 1 species
GAUGAACGCUAGCGGCAGGCCUAAUACAUGCAAGUCGAGGGGUAGAAGAGGCUUGCUUCUUUGAGACCGGCGCACGGGUGCGUAACGCGUAUGCAACCUACCUUCAUCUGGGGGAUAGCCCGGAGAAAUCCGGAUUAAUACCGCAUAAAAUCACAGGAUGGCAUUAUCCAAUGAUCAAACAUUCAUGGGGUGGAGAUGGGCAUGCGUGUCAUUAGCUAGUUGGCGGGGUAACGGCCCACCAAGGCGACGAUGACGAGGGGAUCUGAGUGGAUGGCCCCCCACACGGGUACUGAGACGCGGACCAGACUCGGACGGGAGGAAGCAGUAAGGAAUAUUGGUCAAUGAAGGCAACUCUGAACCAGCCAUGCCACGUGCAGGAAGACUGCCCUAUGGGUUGUAAACUGCUUUUAUUCGGGAAUAAACCUUAUUACGUGUAAUAAGCUGAAUGUACCGAAGGAAUAAGGAUCGGCUAACUCCGUGCCAGCAGCCGCAGUAA